rnacentral:rRNA from 1 species
ACGGCUCAGUAACACGUGGAUAACCUGCCCUAAGGAAGGGGAUAACCCCGGGAAACUGGGGAUAAUACCCUAUAGGUUACCAAUGCUGGAAUGCUUGGUAACCGAAAGUUCCGGCGCCUUAGGAUGGAUCUGCGGCCGAUUAGGUUGUUGUUGGGGUAAUGGCCCAACAAGCCAGUAAUCGGUACGGGUUGUGGGAGCAAGAGCCCGGAGUUGGAUUCUGAGACACGAAUCCAGGCCCUACGGGGCGCAGCAGGCGCGAAAACUUUACAAUGCGGGCAACCGUGAUAAGGGAACCUCGAGUGCCUGUAUAUGCAGGCUGUCUGGGUGUCUAAAACACACCCAAAGAAAGGGCCGGGCAAGACCGGUGCCAGCCGCCGCGGUAAUACCGGCGGCUCGAGUGGUGGCCACUUUUAUUGGGCUUAAAGCGUUCGUAGCUGGGUUAUUAAGUCCCUUGGGAAAUCCGACAGCUCAACUGUCGGGCGUCUAAGAGAUACUGGUAAUCUUGGAACCGGGAGAGGUGAGGGGUACUUCGGGGGUAGGAGUGAAAUCCUGUAAUCCUCGAGGGACCACCUGUGGCGAAGGCGCCUCACCAGAACGGCUUCGACAGUGAGGGACGAAAGCUGGGGGAGCAAACCGGAUUAGAUACCCGGGUAGUCCCAGCCGUAAACGAUGUGCGUUAGGUGUAUCGGUGACCACGAGUCACCGAGGUGCCGAAGGGAAACCGUGAAACGUACCGCCUGGGAAGUACGGUCGCAAGGCUGAAACUUAAAGGAAUUGGCGGGGGAGCAC